rnacentral:lncRNA from 1 species
AUGAAGAAAUUUUUUCCUGUGCUUUCUAGAGACAAAGCUACUUCUUCGGUAAAUCUAGAAGCAUCGGAAACUCAACAUCCAAGUGAGAGUAUUAAAGUUGUCGAUUAUGAAUUGUUGGAAACCGAUCCAGGAAUUAGGCCUCCAAUUUCAAGCUAUCAUCCUGACAUCCAAAAUGAGGUAAGGAAAGCUUAUUUAAAAAUAGGUCGUCAUAAACCUCCUUACAAUUUUGUUUACCCUUAG